rnacentral:rRNA from 1 species
AGAGUUGAUCAUGGCGUCAGGAUGAACGCUAGCGGCAGGCUAACACAUGCAAGUCGAGGGGCAACGCGAGUAGCAAUACUUGGCGGCGACCGGCGCAAGGGUGCGUAACGCGUGAGCAACAUGCCCGUAUCAGGGGGAUAAUCCAGGGAAACUUGGUCUAAUACCCCAUAGUAAUUUUGUAAGGCAUCUUAUAAGAUUUAAAGCUUUGGUGGAUACGGAUUGGCUCGCGUGACAUUAGCUGGAUGGUAAGGUAACGGCUUACCAUGGCUAUGAUGUCUAGGGGUUCUGAGAGGAAGGUCCCCCACACUGGAACUGAGACACGGUCCAGACUCCUACGGGAGGCAGCAGUGAGGAAUAUUGGACAAUGGAUGGAAAUCUGAUCCAGCCAUGCCGCGUGAAGGAAGAAGGUCCUAUGGAUUGUAAACUUCUUUUGUAUGGGAGCAAUAAGGCCUACGAGUAGGUUGAUGAGAGUACCAUACGAAUAAGCACCGGCUAACUCCGUGCCAGCCGCCGC